UAUAGAGACAUGCACAAUGUGUUCAGUUGAUACGUUCCAAACGAUUUUUUUAAUUAAAUGACGUAAUUAUGAAUGAAAUGAAAAAAUUGUCAACGUUAUUUACAAUUGCACUUGUCGGGAAUGCGAUGGCCACAUACUGCGUAAACCCGCGACUAAAAGAUCCAAUAUUUAGUUCGGAUCACUACAUUUAUGAAGAUGUUACAGAUAAAUAUUUUAUUAAGAUAAAAUUCACGUUGGUAUGUGACAACGACCUGCCGAGAUCAUACGGUCUGUACGCUGAUAUUGACGGCGAUCAAAUGCCGGGUUUCCGUCUCGCCGACAACAAAUUCUUGUUUCACGGAUACCACAUGCCGUCGGCGCCGCGACCGCGCGUUUACCAGAUGCUGGUCUACGAGGAGGACGACUGGAUCCGACUCAAAACCGAUCAGAAGUAUGAUCCAGACGCCGCGAAGGCCCCCAUGCUCAGGUUGCAGCUGAAUCAUACGAGAAACUCUGGAUGUGGUUCUGUGAUCACGAGUUUUUAUACAAAAUUCGUAAUCAUUUCCAUUGAGAGUUUACUAGCCUUGCUAAACAAUGACAAUAUGUAGCGGAAACGAGAUUAUAGCUCGACCGCCACAAAGGGAAGAUCUUCCCGCCAGGUGUGACGCACGGUGAACCGCGCGGUGUUAUGUCGGAGGUCGUAUUUAUUCAUACAAUUUCUAGUCAAAUAAUUUUAUUUGCUUAAAUAGGGUAGACAAUACAAUAUCCACAUAAUGGUUUAGAACAAGCCUAUUUGGCCGUUGUCAACAACAUACAAAUGUUCAAUUCAAUUCAAUUCAAUUUGUUUAUUUCGUGAACACAGGUUACAUAAUAGGUAUAAUACAUUGGAAUGAGCUUCUCUAUGUCCCGCCAUAAGGCAUACGAAAUUUUUGUCAUAGGUUUUACAACUGAAGUUACAUAAUAUUUAUACUAUAAUUUAUUCUAUAAAGUGUCUACAUAAUUUAUCUAAUUGUCAGGUAUGUUAAUAAUAGGAUAUUUAAAAAAUCAUAAAAUGACAUCGGAUUAAAAUAAGAUAAAAUGACACUUACAAUUUACAUGUAUGAAAACUUCACUUGCGCGUUCUAUAUUUGUCUGUUCGACCAUGAUUCGACUGUAGCGCCAUCUAUCCGUAGCGCUACGUACCUAUAAUUAUAUGGUUGUGUUUAGAUAUCGCCAUAAAUAUAUAAUAAAUAAAUAUAUAGAGAAGAAAUAAAUAUAUAUAUCGCCAUAAAUAUAUAGAGACCGCGCCAGCGAUAGUACCUAUGUGUGUGUGUAGCUGGCAUUACGUGGCGUUGAAUUCAGAAAAUCGAUUUUUAUAUGGAACUAUGUUUCUUCCCAGGAGUCUGUUACGAGUAUACACAUACUCGUAACAGACUCCUGGAAAAAAAAUCUCUUCCAUAGACAAUACUACUUCUGGACGAACGUCUGGGUGUGGAAAGGUGAGAUUCUUAUCUGUAUACAAAUACUAGUACAAAAUUUCGGUUUACUUUUGCAUAAUAUCUUGUAUCUUUAAAACUACGCAUGGGAUUUUGAUGCAAGGUAUUUUAAUAGAUAACGUGAUUUCUGAGGAAGGUUUAAGUGUAUAGUUUAUUAUAGAUUUACACGGGAAGCGGAUAAAAUCACAAUAAAAGACUGAGAAGAAGAAACUGGAAACUUUCUAAACUUUGUACUACACACAAUGCAAGAUUUUUUAUAAACAAUUUGAUUUUACUUUUUUCUUACACGAUAUAUAUUUAAAUAAUAAACAUAACAUAUCAUGUUUAUUAUAAAUUUAUAUAAUUUAUUAUAAUUUCUUUAAUAUAAAUUGAUUAUUGUUUGUUGUUGUUUUUAUUAUCUGUUUUGUGUUAUUACUGAAUAAAUGUGAUUUUA